rnacentral:rRNA from 1 species
ACGAAGGGUGCAAGCGUUAAUCGGAAUUACUGGGCGUAAAGCGUGCGUAGGUGGUUUCUUAAGUCUGCUGUGAAAGCCCUGGGCUCAACCUGGGAAUGGCGGUGGAUACUGAGGAGCUAGAGUGCGGUAGAGGAGGGUGGAAUUCCCGGUGUAGCGGUGAAAUGCGUAGAGAUCGGGAGGAACAUCAGUGGCGAAAGCGGCUUCCUGGACCAGUACCGACGUUCAGGCACGAAAGCGUGGGGAGCAAACAGGA